rnacentral:rRNA from 1 species
ACGUAGGGUGCAAGCGUUAAUCGGAAUUACUGGGCGUAAAGCGUGCGCAGGCGGUUCUGUAAGACAGAUGUGAAAUCCCCGGGCUCAACCUGGGAAUUGCAUUUGUGACUGCAGGACUAGAGUUCAUCAGAGGGGGGUGGAAUUCCAAGUGUAGCAGUGAAAUGCGUAGAUAUUUGGAAGAACACCAAUGGCGAAGGCAGCCCCCUGGGAUGCGACUGACGCUCAUGCACGAAAGCGUGGGGAGCAAACAG